ACCGCUGGCUUCCCAGGCCCCAGCCUUCUCACUGCUCCCCAUCCACCAGGCUGCCCUGUCCUCACUGGUGGAAGGCUCCUUACAACCAAGCCAGUAGGGGAGUAAAAUAUUGGCAACACUGAUGUUUGCCCUUGAGGGUCUUAUAGGCCACGUCGUCACUGCUUUCCUUUUGUUAAUCAAUUUGAAGAUACAAAUAAUAAUAAAUAUUUAUAAAGCAUCCUAUAAUUUACAAAAUUGUUUUAUCUCUUUUAUCAACUUGAUGUUAUUACUAUGCCUAUUUUACAGAUGAAGGAAAUGGAGGCCUCAUGAGGUUAAGUCCAAGUUCACAAAGCUAGUUUGUUCUCUCCAUCCUCCACACCUGGCCCGGGUACCAUGUCCUUCUCUGACUUGGCUCCCCAUCCUCUCAGCUGUAGCCCAUAUUUCAUUUUGCCCCAGAGCUACCUCUUGACGUAUACCCACUCUGCACACAGCUCCAUUUGACGUAACAACCCAUAACCCGCCUGUAUGUCCACUAUAUUAGCCAUCACAGAAGGCCCAGCACCUUGCACAGAGCUCCAGACAAGCCCUCGUGAGUGGUUCUCCAGUCAAGAAGUGGGCAAUCUUGGAAAGAAUACAGACGCUAAGGAGCAUCUGUGAAUGGCCAGUGCUUCCCCUAGUCCAUCUGCUGACAACCCUCCGCUGUUACUGCACGCACUGUAACAGAUCUAUGGGAAGGGAAGGGCUGAGGGCUUGGAUUGACAGCCCAGGUACACUGCAGGGACGCCUAAACUACCCAUCCCCCCAAACUCUCUAAAUAGAAACGUGAAUAAAAUGACUAUUUGCUGGUCAUAUUAUGAACUACAGAGUUGGGCUAAUGGACAGUGGUCCCACAAGCUCAGAACACCUUUCAUCUACGCAUGCACGUGGGAUGAGUUGAAUACAUGACUACUGAAUUGGACUAUAUUUCCCUGCCUUCCUUUAACCAGGUAUGGUCAUGACUAAAUCUUCUCUAAUGCGAUAGAAAUCAAAAGUAGUUGUGUCACUUCUAGGUCAGGAUGUAGGGGCGGUGGAGAAGCACUCCUCAAGCUCUCUUUCCUCUUCCUCCUGC